rnacentral:SRP_RNA from 1 species
GAUGAGGGGCCCCCGCAAUGGGGGCCUGCGAACCUGGUCAGGGACGAAAGUCAGCAGCCAUAAGCAGUACUCCUCAUGUGUGGUGGGCCUCUCAUCGGG